UCAUCGAUGAGGAACUGGAGAAGAUGGAUUGUGUACAGCAACGCAAGAAGCAGCUAGCAGAGUUAGAGACAUGGGUAAUACAGAAAGAAUCUGAGGUGGCUCAAGUUGACCAACUCUUUGAUGAUGCAUCAAGGGCAGUGACUAAUUGUGAGUCUUUGGUGAAGGACUUCUACUCCAAGCUGGGACUACAAUACCGGGACAGUAGCUCUGAGGACGAAUCUUCCCGGCCUACAGAAAUAAUUGAGAUUCCUGAUGAAGAUGAUGAUGUCCUCAGUAUUGAUUCAGGUAAGGGAUGAGCUUUGGAUAGGAGAGUCUCAGGACUGAAGUUGAAACACUGGAAGAUGAGCAAAUAGAAGAUAAUAGAAGAGAGGAGAAACCAUUGUCACUAACUCCAUAUUUCAAACUGCCUGAGUUGGCUAUUAAAGAAAAAAAUGCAACAUUGUUAGUAUCAUAGAUGUUCCCUAUGUGCUACACCCUGAUUGCAUUACUUUGCUUUCCUCAUUCUGUGUAACCCAUAUUUUGGGGUAUUCCAUCAAAGAGUGGAAUUGCCAGGACUUAUAGUAAGUGUAUGUUCUGUUGUUAGGAUAUAAAAAAUACAGUUGGUUUUUGUGUAUUGAUCUUGU
rnacentral:sRNA from 1 species